CAUCUUCUCCAUGGUGAACGAAAUCAGCAAGGGGGAAGCCAUAUUUAGGGUUUUCAAGGUUCCAAUCUCCAUAAUCAAGAAGAACGAAACUCGAGGUUAGACAAAGGGAAGAAUAAAGUUGAAGACUAAGUUGGUGAAUUAGGCUAUAUUUGGUACUGAGUAUUGCAAAGCUGCUUCAGGGAUCCUAAAGACGUCAGAGAUCAUCCACACUAUCAACCACAACAACUCGGUAUCUUAUGAUAAAUUAUAUUCGAGUUAUGGCAUGUAUAGGGAUUUAGUUAUUUUGCAUGUUAGUAAUUAUGAUUUUUCUAAAGAAUGAUGUGUAAGUAUUUGAUGAUGAAUGGUUAUUAAAAUGGUUAAGUAUGAAGGUGUUUGUUGUUAUAAAAGUUUAGGUGAUAAAUUAUGCAUGGAAAUUAUGAAAGGGUAAAAUUUUGCAAAGAAACAUAAUUCAGGCAGCACAGUGACGUGACUUUGAAAAAUCACCUAGGAUAGUAUAUAAUGAGUUAGAAGGUGAAUGAUAUAUAGAUUGAAAGCUUAUUGAGUCUAUUUUCAUGUAAAAGUAACGAUUUAACAAAAGAGAUUUAUAUUUUGAGAUAUGUGAAUUUUUGUGAGACAGGGUCAGAUCUGUUUUUGGAGUCCCCUGUUUUGAGUUUAGAAAAUCAUUAAAAAUUGUAAAAAAAUGGUUAUGAGAUAUAGUUUAUAUGUCUAGAUUCCUUAUUGAGUAUAUUUUUUUGUAGAAACAACUAAUAACUUCAUAUGAAAAUCCUACAGUGAGAAAACUUAUUUUUAGUGGCAAGAGGUCAGGACAGUUAAGUGGUGAAACAUGGGAGAUUUUAACUAAUAAACUGUACUAAUUGGCUCAACCAAAAAUCCUAAAAAUUUUAUGGUAGGAAUAUAUAUGAGUCUAGUUUCAGGGAAAAUUUAUGGAAUUAAAUUUUGAGCCCUGUAGCUCGAGUUAUAAUUAAUUUAGUAACUGCUGCGCGAUUGGACAGAUUUGUCGUAAAUAGCGAAAUUAAUUUUCAAAACAAGUCUUUAUGCUCCGAAUUAGUAAGAUAAGUUAAGUAAUGCCUCGUGCUCGACUCCGAAAAUGGUCUCGGGUAAGGGUUGUUACAUUUUGUUGGUACCAUAGCAGGUUUAGUCGGUUCUCGAAAAUACGCAGUAUGAAUAAGAGUAUACCUAUACAUGUCAUACUUAUAUUUUUUGAUAGUGUGACGACUCCUGACGAUUUUAAAAUGUUUUCUUUUAUAGUUAUGGAUCCUGAAUGAGCUGGUACAGAUGAAGUAGAGAGUAAUGUGCCUGCUCCCGCAGAAGGGACGGCGCCACCAGAUGUUAAUGUUAGUGAAAGGCCUACAUCAGUUAGACAGG